GGGCGGUUAGCUCAGCUGGGAGAGCGCCUGGUUUACACCCAGGAGGUCGGCAGUUCGAUCCUGUCACCGCCCACCA
rnacentral:tRNA from 1 species